UACGGGGGGGGCAAGCGUUGUUCGGAAUUACUGGGCGUAAAGGGCUCGUAGGCGGCCGUUUUAGUCCGACGUGAAAUCCCACGGCUCAACCGUGGAACUGCGUCGGAUACUGGACGGCUUGAAUCCAAGAGAGGGAUGCGGAAUUCCAGGUGUAGCGGUGAAAUGCGUAGAUAUCUGGAGGAACACCGGUGGCGAAGGCGGCAUCCUGGAUUGGUAUUGACGCUGAGGAGCGAAAGCCAGGGGAGCAAACGGG
rnacentral:rRNA from 1 species